GUGCUCACUUCAGCAGCACAUAGACUAAAACUGGAAUGACACAGGGAAGAUUAGCAGGGCCCCUGCAGAAGGAUGACACACAAAUUCGUGAAGCGUUCCAUAGUUUU
ensembl:snRNA U6 U6 spliceosomal RNA